GGUGUUUAAACAGAAGGUGUUCGACAAGGAACAAUUUUAAUAGGAUGUACAACUUGUAUAGCACAAGGGCAAGGUACAACUCGGCGAAGCACAGGCAGAUUCUUUUAUACACGGAUUUAGCUCACUUUUCUUCAUUUCUUCAAAGUAUGAACGAUUUUUGGGGAGCUUCAAGAGGGGAUUUUCAAAUCAUCAAUGUGAAGGUAAGUUAUCCCCACCUAUUUUGAGUUAAGUACAUCAAUUAUGUAUGGAUUUGAGCAUGAAAAUUGUAGAAAAAUUGAGGAUUUAAGCCUAGGGAUUUAAAAAUAAGAUUUGGUGAUUUGAGGGGUCAAAUGAACUCCGAUUUUGGUAAAUUUUAUAUGUAUGGACUCGUGGCGAGACGAGGAAUCUGGUGAUGUGACUUUCGUAAUUUUUCAAGAAGUGGGCCCGGGGCUCGGGUUUUGCAAAUUUCGUGAUUUUCGAUAUUUUUCGAGUCUUUUCGAUUGGGUUAUAUUCCCUUAGCCUAUUGUGAUAUAUUCCUUGUGGUUUUGGAAAGAUUCGACGCGCGAGGAGGUCGAUUCGAAAGGAAAGGGCAUCGCGGAGUAGACUUUUGGCCAUCUUGAGGUGAGUAAUAGAUGUAAAUGCUGUUCUGAGGGUUUGAAACCCCGGACUUUCACAUCGUAACACUAUAUUGAGGCGUGACACGUACUCCAUGGUGAGUGCAGGGUCGGAUACUAUUGGAGAUUGUGACUUGGUCCAUCCCGUGUGAUGUUUAUACUAUACUGGUGAUUGAUACACAUACUUCAUUGAUAUUACUGGGCUUGAUGCCAUGUUUGGGGCCUUGUGCCGA
rnacentral:lncRNA from 1 species